rnacentral:rRNA from 1 species
CGGGAGGCAGCAGUGGGGAAUAUUGCACAAUGGGGGAAACCCUGAUGCAGCCAUGCCGCGUGUGUGAAGAAGGCCUUCGGGUUGUAAAGCACUUUCAGCGAGGAGGAAAGUUUGAGUCUUAAUACGGCUUAGAUGUGACGUUACUCGCAGAAGAAGCACCGGCUAACUUCGUGCCAGCAGCCGCGGUAAUACGAGGGGUGCAAGCGUUAAUCGGAAUUACUGGGCGUAAAGCGUACGCAGGCGGUUUGUUAAGCAAGAUGUGAAAGCCCUGGGCUCAACCUAGGAACCGCAUUUUGAACUGGCAAACUAGAGUCUUGUAGAGGGGGGUAGAAUUUCAGGUGUAGCGGUGAAAUGCGUAGAGAUCUGAAGGAAUACCGGUGGCGAAGGCGGCCCCCUGGACAAAGACUGACGCUCAUGUACGAAAGCGUGGGGAGCAAACAGGAUUAGAUACCCUGGUAGUCCACGCCGUAAACGAUGUCUACUCGGAAUUUGGUGUCUUGAACACUGGGUUCUCAAGCUAACGCAUUAAGUAGACCGCCUGGGGAGUACGGCCGCAAGGUUAAAACUCAAAUGAAUUGACGGGGGCCCGCACAAGCGGUGGAGCAUGUGGUUUAAUUCGAUGCAACGCGAAGAACCUUACCUACUCUUGACAUCCUCAGAAUUUACCAGAGAUGGUUUAGUGCCUUCGGGAACUGAGAGACAGGUGCUGCAUGGCUGUCGUCAGCUCGUGUUGUGAAAUGUUGGGUUAAGUCCCGCAACGAGCGCAACCCUUAUCCUUAU